ncrna:unclassified sequences GA-cis RNA
UUUAGUCAAUGUCUAUGGGACGAAGUCCCAUAUUAGGAUGACACUGACGAUCUGCCGCCGAACGGAUGUGAGGGGGUAAUACAUUAU